AUGGAUUGCCUUCUACUGUUUGAACCUACAGCCAUGAACUUACAACACCUUCAGGAUGCUCCACCAUUUGCUGUAUUACAAAAUGUGUUUUGCCAAUGUCACAUUCACAAUAUGGAAGAAAAAGACACCCACACACACCCACAAAAAAGUCGUCAAGAUCGCAAUGACAACAUCCCGGAUCAACACCACUCAUAUACUGCAGAGUAUACAGAGUACUGAAACCUAAAGAUGUCCGAGGUCCACUCCCUGUGCAACUGACACUCGACUGCCAUUGGCUCAUCUGCGUUCAAGGGGAGGGGCUUACCAAUAGGUCAAUUGAAGAGCCUGAUUUCAUGCAUAAAAUCAACCCAGAUAGUGUCAUGCCCUGCAUCUCAAUGUUCAUACUAUCCAUCCUAAAUAGUAUGUGAGAGUAUGUGUUGAAAAGAGUAUGCCAAAAGUCCCAGAAUGGACUACUAUUUCAGGUUGAUUUUUGAAGUGUGGAUCCAUGCACACUCUAAUGCCUAAAAUUGCCCACAAUCCAUUGCGCUUUGUGAUAGUAUGUCCCAAAGCUUGCCUACUCGUCUACUACAGACUCAAAAGUGUGUACUUUUUCUUCACCAAAAGAGUACAUACUUUAAGGAAGUAGUAUAAGUAGGCACAUUGAGACGCAGGGUUGUAUUCCCUCUUAAUUGGUCCUCUUAAUGAAGAGCACUUGUUGCAUUUGCUUUAGAGGGACAUUUACGUUCAAUUUUCUUAAGAACUGUUUGAAGUAACUGAUAACUGAUAAUAGUUUGUGCUGCAUAUUUCAAAUGUGCACAUUCUGUUCUAUAUAAGUUCCAGUAAACACCAAUGCAAUUUUGUGGCAAAAAUGCAGCAAAACGUUUUGAAGAUCAGACAGCUAUUUUCUUUGUAAUGAUAAGUAAGUAAGUAAGUAAGUAGAGUCCUCCAGGAUUAGACAGGAACAGCAUGUGAAGGGCAAUCAGAACGCUGCGACAGAACGCUCAUCAAAAGACUAAUCCUUGUGCUGGAAAAAAGCUCUAUCACCAAAUUCCCUGCAAGACUGUUGAACAU
ensembl:lncRNA